AGUGGCGGACGGGUGAGUAACGCGUGGGCAACCUACCCCACACAGGGGGAUAACAGUUGGAAACGACUGCUAAUACCGCAUAGGCGCACAGCUUCGCAUGAAGCAGUGUGGAAAACCGAGGUGGUGUGGGAUGGGCCCGCGUCUGAUUAGCUGGUUGGCGGGGUAACGGCCCACCAAGGCGACGAUCAGUAGCCGGCCUGAGAGGGUGGACGGCCACAUUGGGACUGAGACACGGCCCAAACUCCUACGGAAGGCAGCAG
rnacentral:rRNA from 1 species